rnacentral:misc_RNA from 1 species
GAUGAAGAACGUAGCGAAAUGCGAUAAGUAAUGCGAAUUGCAGAAUUUCCGUGAGUCAUCGAAUCUUUGAACGCACAUUGCGCCCACUGGUAUUCCGGUGGGCAUGCCUGUUCGAGCGUCAUUAUCCUCCCUCAAACCCCGGGUUUGGUGUUGGACCCAAGUUGUGUGAACAACUGGUCUCAAAGACAAUGACGGCGUCCGUGGGACCCUCGGUGCAACGAGCUUUUAGGCGCACGCAUCGAGUUGCAAGGACCUUCCGGGCCGGUCUCCUUUACCAUUUUACAAGGUUGACCUCGGAUCAGGUAGGAAUACCCGCUGAACUUAAGCAUAUCAAUAAGCGGAGGA